GCUCCGGUGGUUUAGUGGUUAGAGCGUCUGAAUUGAAUGCGGAAAGUCGCGGGUUCGAACCCCGGCGGAGUU